CCCCUGCUCCCUUUUCACCUGUAAAAAAAAAAAAAGUGGGUUUUUUUUUUGCCUUUUUUUCCAGCGUUGAGACUCACUUGGUGCUGCUGCCUGCUUCCUGUCAUCCUGGAGGCAUCGCUUCCUCGAUGAAUGUCCAAUAGAGGAGCAUCGGGGACGAAAUGUGCAAGCAUAGUGAGCGCCACUCGUCCUAUAAAAUGUUUCCAAACAAAUCAUUGAAUCCAAUGCUUCCAUAUGAGCUGCUGUUGAUGACGUUCAUGGACAGUGAAUGUCACUUGACAGAGUCAAACUGUGUCA